rnacentral:sRNA from 1 species
GCUAAAAAGCACUAAUCAAACGACGGCGUCGUGUAUUGGUGAAUAAAUGUAGAAGUGGCUGAGUUAUAAAAGCUUUGUGGCUGAGUUACAAACAUAU